AGAUGCAGAUUUGGAUGGUUGUUGCCCGGUGGGUGGGGCUACAGGCCCAGGGUCGGCUGCCAGGAUGGCUCUCGCGCUCU
ensembl:miRNA aca-mir-5424 aca-mir-5424